GAUGAACGCUGGCGGCGUGCCUAAUACAUGCCAGUCGAGCGAACAGGCGAGGAGCUUGCUCCUUCGACGUUAGCGGCGGACGGGUGAGUAACACGUAGGUAACCUACCUAUAAGACUGGGAUAACUUCGGGAAACCGGAGCUAAUACCGGAUAAUAUUUCGAACCGCAUGGUUCGAUAGUGAAAGAUGGCUUUGCUAUCACUUAUAGAUGGACCUGCGCCGUAUUAGCUAGUUGGUAAGGUAACGGCUUACCAAGGCAACGAUACGUAGCCGACCUGAGAGGGUGAUCGGCCACACUGGAACUGAGACACGGUCCAGACUCCUACGGGAGGCAGCAGUAGGGAAUCUUCCGCAAUGGGCGAAAGCCUGACGGAGCAACGCCGCGUGAGUGAUGAAGGUCUUCGGAUCGUAAAACUCUGUUAUUAGGGAAGAACAAACGUGUAAGUAACUGUGCACGUCUUGACGGUACCUAAUCAGAAAGCCACGGCUAACUACGUG
rnacentral:rRNA from 1 species